rnacentral:rRNA from 1 species
GACCUCGAAUCAGGUAGGACUACCCGCUGAACUUAAGCAUAUCAAUAAGCGGAGGAAG